UUAUUGAAAUGCCUAAAAAGAAUUACUUAUACACUGUUUCAUUUUAACUUAAAGAAAAGUUUACACUACUUUUGUGAAUCUGGGAGAAGAGAACUGUGGGUAAUGUGGUAAAGGGGGCGGAGUCACAACGCUGAACGGCCGAGAAAAUGGCUGAGAUUGGGAUGCAUUUACUGGGCUGUGCAGGGAUUGGGGUAAAAUAAUGAAGCAUGCAAGGGCACUGAAAUCAUAUUUGCACACAAAUCCAGGGUCAGCUAUGCUGCCGUUUUUAGACUCAGGCAUUUUGUCUAGUUUCUCUCCAACAAAACCGGAAGAAACACAUUGAAGUCAAUGUUGAACAAUAACUAUGGGGCACUGAUUCGAGCUAUUGAAAAGCUCCUUAUGACAAGCUUUAGCUGCAUCUUUUUCGUAAGAACCCCCAACAAACAACAAAGUCCAACUUCCUGCACAACAAGCAGGUAACCUGAGACGAGGUGGCUGAGUGGCUAGGGUAAAAGACUGCUAAUCCCUGGUGCGCUGCUCGCGCGGGUUUGAGUCCCAUCCUUGUUGCUCGUCCAACUAAAAGUUAAACCUUCCUCUGGCACAAAGUUGUGCUUACGCAUGAUGAGGUGGCCGAGUGCUUAGGUUAGUACGCUGUACUCUGCAAGCUUAAAUCCCAUCCUCGUUGUUUUGGGAGAGGCCACUGCUUCUGUCUAAGGUUUCUUACUUGCACCUCUUAGCGUCUUAAAGGACGUUAUGGCAAAAACUUUAUGUAAUAUGUAGCGAAAUUAGCGGCAAAAACAUACGUACACGCCACAGUCCAGCCUCCAUCAGGAAAGCGCAUGUAUGCGAGAGGAGGGGGCCGAGUGGAUAAGGCGAUUGCCUGCUAAUCCAUUGUGCUCUGCAUGUGUGCGGUUUAAUCCCGUCGUCGUUGUUCAUUCAAGAGAGCCCAGUGCUUCCGUGGAAGGUUUCUUACUCUCACCCUCUUAGUGCUUCGAAGCAUGUUAUGGCAAAAUUGAAAGUCAUUUGGCUGAAAUUAGUUGCAGAAACAUACAUAAACAAAUAUGUGCCACAGUCUAGCCUCCCUCAGAAAAGUGGGAACAUAUGUGACGAGGUGGCCGAGUGGUUAAGGCGAUGGACUGCUAAUCCAUUGUGCUCUGCACGCGUGGGUUCGAAUCCCAUCCUCGUCGUUUGUUUAGGAGAGGCCGGGGCUUUCAUGGAAGGUAUCUUACUCGCACCAUCUUCGUGCUUGUUAUGGCAAAUUGGAAAGUCAUCUACCGCAGAUGGUUGCAGGAACAUACAUAAAUAAUUAUGUGCCACAGUCCAGGCUCCAUCAGGAAAGUGGGAGCCUACGUGACGAGGUGGUCGAGUGGUUAAGGCGAUGGACUGCUAACUUAUUGUGCUCUGCACGCGUGGGUUCAAAUCCCAUCCUUGACGUUCAAUUGAGAGAGCCAAGUGCUUUCGUGGAAGAUGUUUUACUCUCACCCUCUUAGCGUUUUGAAGGAGGUUGUUGCAAGAUUUAAUUUCAUAUUUACCAAAAAUAGUUGCAAAUACUUACAUACAUGCCACAGCACAGCCCCCACCAGGAAACUGGGUAAAUUCAUGACGAGGUUGCCAAGCGGUUAAGGGGAUGGACUGCUAAUCCACGCGUGGGUUCAAUCCCAUCCUCGUCGUUCAAUUUUUCAGAGAGCCUGGUGCUUCCGCUGAAGUUUUCUGACAACAUUCUGAAGAUUGUCAUGGUUCAGGUGAAUCCAACCUGCUGCAUGUUUAGUGAAACAACUCUGGCGCAAAUUGCAGCAUGUUCAAGAUCCAGACACUCAGCUAUUCUUUUGAACAGAACAUUGAGCCUUCUAGGAGGCUGUCAAAAAUUGCCAGAGCUGACUGUAUUUCAAGCCAUCUCGGCGGGGUAUUGGGUAAAGUUUUCAACCAGCAAUGAUCACGCCUCGGCUAGGCCUCAUAGGCUAUGAUAUUGCCUCUGCGAAAGAAUACCAAUCUCAACAAUGAACUCUUAUAUCUACCAAUCUGGACAUGAAACGACAAGGUGGUAUCAAACUUUAAACUGCUAGCCAUCAGCCUUCUGGCACCAAUGAGUGCAUGCUGUGUCAGUAGAACAGGUUAUUGAAAUGCCUAAAAAGAAUUACUUAUACACUGUUUCAUUUUAACUUAAAGAAAAGUUUACACUACUUUUGUGAAUCUGGGAGAAGAGAACUGUGGGUAAUGUGGUAAAGGGGGCGGAGUCACAACGCUGAACGGCCGAGAAAAUGGCUGAGAUUGGGAUGCAUUUACUGGGCUGUGCAGGGAUUGGGGUAAAAUAAUGAAGCAUGCAAGGGCACUGAAAUCAUAUUUGCACACAAAUCCAGGGUCAGCUAUGCUGCCGUUUUUAGACUCAGGCAUUUUGUCUAGUUUCUCUCCAACAAAACCGGAAGAAACACAUUGAAGUCAAUGUUGAACAAUAACUAUGGGGCACUGAUUCGAGCUAUUGAAAAGCUCCUUAUGACAAGCUUUAGCUGCAUCUUUUUCGUAAGAACCCCCAAGAAACAACAAAGUCCAACUUCCUGCACAACAAGCAGGUAACCUGAGACGAGGUGGCUGAGUGGCUAGGGUAAAAGACUGCUAAUCCCUGGUGCGCUGCUCGCGCGGGUUUGAGUCCCAUCCUUGUUGCUCGUCCAACUAAAAGUUAAACCUUCCUCUGGCACAAAGUUGUGCUUACGCAUGAUGAGGUGGCCGAGUGCUUAGGUUAGUACGCUGUACUCUGCAAGCUUAAAUCCCAUCCUCGUUGUUUUGGGAGAGGCCACUGCUUCUGUCUAAGGUUUCUUACUUGCACCUCUUAGCGUCUUAAAGGACGUUAUGGCAAAAACUUUAUGUAAUAUGUAGCGAAAUUAGCGGCAAAAACAUACGUACACGCCACAGUCCAGCCUCCAUCAGGAAAGCGCAUGUAUGCGAGAGGAGGGGGCCGAGUGGAUAAGGCGAUGGCCUGCUAAUCCAUUGUGCUCUGCAUGUGUGCGGUUUAAUCCCGUCGUCGUUGUUCAUUCAAGAGAGCCCAGUGCUUCCGUGGAAGGUUUCUUACUCUCACCCUCUUAGUGCUUCGAAGCAUGUUAUGGCAAAAUUGAAAGUCAUUUGGCCGAAAUUAGUUGCAGAAACAUACAUAAACAAAUAUGUGCCACAGUCUAGCCUCCCUCAGAAAGGUGGGAACAUAUGUGACGAGGUGGCCGAGUGGUUAAGGCGAUGGACUGCUAAUCCAUUGUGCUCUGCACGCGUGGGUUCGAAUCCCAUCCUCGUCGUUUGUUUAGGAGAGGCCGGGGCUUUCAUGGAAGGUAUCUUACUCGCACCAUCUUCGUGCUUGUUAUGGCAAAUUGGAAAGUCAUCUACCGAAGAUGGUUGCAGGAACAUACAUAAAUAAUUAUGUGCCACAGUCCAGGCUCCAUCAGGAAAGUGGGAGCCUACGUGACGAGGUGGUCGAGUGGUUAAGGCGAUGGACUGCUAACUUAUUGUGCUCUGCACGCGUGGGUUCAAAUCCCAUCCUUGACGUUCAAUUGAGAGAGCCAAGUGCUUUCGUGGAAGAUGUUUUACUCUCACCCUCUUAGCGUUUUGAAGGAGGUUGUUGCAAGAUUUAAUUUCAUAUUUACCAAAAAUAGUUGCAAAUACUUACAUACAU